rnacentral:rRNA from 1 species
GACGAACGCUGGCGGCGUGCCUAAUACAUGCAAGUCGAACGCAGUGGGGACGGGUGCGUAACACGUGGGUAACCUCCCAUCAGAGGGGAUAACCCUUGGAAACAGGUGCUAAACCGAUAUUGGUGGAUGGACCCGCGGUGCAUUCGCUAGUUGGUGGGGUAACGGCUCACCAAGGCCACGAUGCAUAGCCGACCUGAGAGGGUGAUCGGCCACACUGGGACUGAGACACGGCCCAGACUCCUACGGGAGGCAGCAGUAGGGAAUCUUCGGCAAUGGACGAAAGUCUGACCGAGCAACGCCGCGGGAGUGAAGAAGGUGUUCGGAUCGUAAAACUAUGUUGUUAGAGAAGCGGUAUCUAACAAGAAAGCCACGGCUAACUACGGGCCAGCAGCCGCGGUAAUUC